rnacentral:sRNA from 1 species
AAGCACUUUUCCAUAUUUGCUUCAAAUGGCCUUUAGCCCCAAAAAAUUAUGUCAAAGAGGAAUGUUUUGAGGUGACACAUUCUGUUUCCUUCAGUACUCUCAUUGGUGAGUCUCCGGAUUCACCUUCAUAUAAACUUCCCUUGAACACUAUAGACAUUUUAUAAUUCUUUAUUUCUGCAUUUGCUUUGAGAUAAGGUCUUUAGUUAUUUGUAUGAUUUUUUUCUGUGGAUAACUUGGGUAAGAUUUUUAAGCUGUUAUUUUGGCUUAAGUAAAUAAAAAGUCAAAAUAAAAGUCAACAACCCGCUGCCUUUUAUGUCAACAUUAAGAACUAGAGUUCUUACAUUACUUUUGCAGUGCAAUGUAAUGCAUUGUAUCCUUUUCUAACAAGCCUACAGAAAAAGAUUAUCUGAUAAAAAAUAUGUAUUCAAUCACCUUUCUUUUCUUUAUCAGGUAUGGUAUAGAGCAGUUUAAAAAAUUAAAAUUUAUGUAAUCAUUGUAUAAAUAUUGUACAAAUUAUUGUAUAAAUUUUCAGAUACACCAAAGUGGAGACUCUUGUUAAAAUAUCUGUGUCUCCCACUGACUGCAGUAAUAGAGAAUUUCUUCUUGGGUUUUAGAUUUCCUCCUUCUUCACCCCUGAAACCAUAUCCAAAGAAGCCCCCAUACCAAAAGGAUGUUAUUAAAUUUCCAGAAUGGAAUGAUCCCCCACCAGGCACUUCACAAGAGAACAUCCCAGUGAGGCCAGUUGUGAUGAAUUCUGAGAUGUGGUACAAGCGUCACAGUAUUGCAAUUGGAGAGGUGCCAGCUUGCCGUCUUGUCCACCGCAGACAGCUGACAGAGGCUAAUGUAGAAGAGAU